CUCACCUUCAAGUUAUUUCCCUCCUCUAGAAUGCUGUACUUCCACCACUGCCAAAUCGUGAACUUUCUCUCCUUCAAUAUCCCACUGAGAACUCACCCCCAGGAUGGGACUCUGCUCACCCCGUCCUCUACUCAAGCAGAAGCCUCUCAGCGAUCAUAGGGCAAGGCCUGAACACAAGCUUCUGUUGGUGUAAAGUGGAGGCACAGGCUGCAGGACUGUCUCAGAAGGGAAAUAAUAUUUACCUUCCAAACUGAGAUCUAAAACCCGAACAAAGCCUCAGGAAACAUACUCCACCACCAUCUUACAAGUUUGUGCUACGGGUGGAGGGAAAAUGAAUCUAAUGUAGGAGGCCUCCCGCUGUGCGUCUAGCAGGAAAGACCAUACGGUGCAAGUCUCCAGGAUCACUAGAGGGGUGGAUUGUUCAUUUCAGUCCAGGUAGCAACAGGAAGCCCGUGCAAAUGUUCCUCUCUCACUGCGGGGCUAAGGAGUGUGGGUCCUUUCCCGCGACUACCUGCUUGCCUCUCUCAGAACCUGCAAGUGAAGUGCGGAAGAUCUGUCUAUCUUCUCGGCGGCGCAGAGCCCAAGGUAGAAACCGAUGGAGGCGGUGCACUAGAUAACAUCAAAGCCCCGGGCAGGGGCCAGAAAGGGGGGCACAGGCAGCCCGGGGAAUGAAGCGCCUCCCUCUAGCAUUUCCUCUCACGCCCACUUCCAACCUAGGAGGCUUUUGGUUUCUGCUUUUUUGUUUUUAAAAUUAAAAGUUAAACCCAGGAAGCUUUGGAUCAGA
rnacentral:lncRNA from 1 species